rnacentral:rRNA from 1 species
CCUACGGGAGGCAGCAGUGAGGAAUAUUGGUCAAUGGCCGGAAGUCUGAACCAGCCAAGCCGCGUGAAGGACGAAGGUGCCAAGCAUUGUAAACUUCUUUUGUCAAGGGACAAAAUCAGGCUCGAGAGCCUGACCGUGGGUACUUUAUGAAUAAGCAUCGGCUAACUCCGUGCCAGCAGCCGCGGUAAUACGGAGGAUGCGAGCGUUAUCCGGAUUUAUUGGGUUUAAAGGGUGCGUAGGGGGACUGUUAAGUCAGUGGUAAAAGCCCGGGGCUAAACCCCGGCGAGCCGUUGAUACUGGCUGUCUUGAGAUGUCUAGAGGUAUGCGGAAUGCGCAGUGUAGCGGUGAAAUGCUUAGAUAUUGCGCAGAACUCCGAUUGCGAAGGCAGCAUACCGGCGGCGAUCUGACGCUGAGGCACGAAAGCGUGGGUAUCGAACAGGAUUAGAUACCCGUGUAGUC